rnacentral:rRNA from 1 species
GAUUAACGCUGGCGGCGUGCCUAACACAUGCGAGUCGAGCGGCAGCGAGUUUUACACUGAAUUCUGGAAGCUUCUAGUUGAAAGAGAAGAUUUAUUCAAGAAUUUUGUGUAAAAUGUCGGCGAGCGGCGGACGGCUGAGUAACGCGUGGGAACGUACCCCAAAGUGAGGGAUAACGCAUCGAAAGGUGUGCUAAUACCGCAUAUGGUCUUCGGAUUAAAGCCUUCGGGCGCUUUGGGAACGGCCUGCGUAAGAUUAGAUAGUUGGUGGGGUAAUGGCCUACCAAGUCGACGAUCUUUAACUGGUUUGAGAGGAUGAUCAGUCAGACUGGAACUGAGACACGGUCCAGACUCCUACGGGAGGCAGCAGUGAGGAAUCUUCCACAAUGGGCGAAAGCCUGAUGGAGCAACGCCGCGUGCAGGAUGAAGGCCUUCGGGUUGUAAACUGCUUUUAUAAGUGAGGAUUAUGACAGUAACUUAUGAAUAAGGAUCGGCUAACUACGUG